ensembl:lncRNA
GUUUUAAGUAUACACCAAGUCUUGUUUUUUGAUGUAUAUAACUUUGGUCUUUUGCAGCUUUUUUGUUUGCCAUGUUGUUCAUGUCUCCCUUCCUCAGGUGAUGGCGUCCGCCAUAAGGAGGAUACUUUGGUGCUGUCCAACAAGCCGUCUGUUAUCAGAGGGAAAUGUGUCCGUUCAGAGAGCCCUUGAUUUGAGCCCAGCCGAUGCUCACGACAUUGAGACCAUUGACGUCCACGCCUCAGAGACGUGUGGCCAAGCUCAUCACACAGAAGGCUCUGGAGGAGACAGUUAAUUAAGUAAAUUAAUGAAGCACGGGAGCACCACCAACUCACGGUGGUCCCAGCUCUAGGCCCUGCCUGUGUGAAGCCCUCACUAGUGGGACAGAGUGAGGGACAAAGAACCCAGACUAGUCCUCCUCCUCCUCAGCUCUCUUGUUCUCCUCAAGUCCCUCCUAAAUCAGUCUCUUGGGGGGAAUAAGCUACAGUAAUGAAAUGGCACUCUAAAUUAAGCACUAUGCCAGCUACAGUAUGUACUUAGCCUACAUGGAUUGGCGACACAUCUGUGAAAGUACUACUCUCGUUGACUAAAGACAAAUGUAUCUGUCAAUUUCCUGUAGUUGCGGGUGAAACCAUUACCACAACCUCAUUGAUAAGAUGCUUCUGUUUCUCCACCAACUCUGUGGAAGAGUCACUGAAAGUUGCAGCUGUCAAGAUGAGGCAGUGUACAGAGUUGCCUGUAUUGGAGCUCCCCCUUCAGGAACAGCGUAUUGGGUAUCUUCCAUCAGAUGAGGUGAUAAGAUAGAAAACAAGCAUUCAAAAUCUGGUGAUGGUGUGAGAAGCCAUGCUAUGUCUGUCCAAACUGCCCAAAAUCAGGUAUGUAUGUAUGGUCAAGAGUGUGGAGCAUGCAGCACUGACCACCAAUGAUCAUUUGUGUUUGACUACGGUGGUGCAUGUGUGAUCACAGAGCAGUUAGGGUUGCUGUGGUGAGGAGAGGGUCAAAGGUGAAUGUAGUAGAGGUAGUGCAUUGACUCAUAGCCUAGCUAUGGGAGAUUAAUGACCUUGUUACCCUUCAGAAAUUCCCUUUCAGAUGUAUCACUUAUAAACUCAGCAAAAAAAGAAAGAUAAUAGUAAACAGUGUUUAAACCCCAUUGUAAAGGGUUUAAACACUGUUUACCAUGCGUGUUCAAUGAACCAUAAACAAUUAAUGAACAUGCACCUGUGGAAUGGUUGUUAAGACACGAACAGCUUACAGACGAUAGGCAAUUAAGGUCACAGUUAUGAACACUUAGGACACUAAAGAGGCCUUUUUACUGACUCUGAAAAAUACCAAAAGAAAGAUGCCCAGGGUCCCUGCUCAUCUGUGUGAACGUGCCUUAGGCAUGCUGCAAGGAGGCAUGAGGACUGCAGAUGCAGCCAGGGCAAUAAAUUGCAAUGUCUGUACUGUGAGACGCCUAAGACAGCACUAUAGGGAGACAGGACGGACAGCUGAUUGUCCUCGCAGUGGCAGACCGAGUGUAAAAACACCUGAACAGGAAUGACAGUUUUCUGCCAUGGCCAGGGAAGAGCCCGGAUCUCAAUCCCGUUGAGGACGUCUGGGACCUGUUGGAUCGGAGGGUGAGGGCUAGGGCCAUUCCCCCCCAGAAAUGUCCAGGAACUUGCAGGUGCCUUGGUGGAUGAGUGGGGUAACAUCUUACAGCAAGAACUGGCAAACUUGGAGCAGUCCAUGAGGAGAUGCACUGUGGUACUUAAUUAAUGCAGCUGAUGGCCACACCAGAUACUGACUGUUACUUUUGAUUUGGACCCCCCCUUUGUUCAGGGACACAUCAUUCCAUUUCUGUUAGUCACAUGUCUGUGGAACGUGUUCAUUUUAUGUUUCAGUUGUUGAAUCUUAUGUUCAUACAAAUAUUUACACGUUAAGUUUGCUGAAAAUAAACGCAGUUGACAGUGAGAGGACG